GCUUAGCAUGAAGUGAAGCACAUACACCUGCUGAAUUUAAGCAUAUAAGUAAGUGGUGGAAAUUAAACCAAAUGGGAUAUCUUUAGUAAUUGCGAAUGAACAAGGAUAUGCUUAGCUUGACAAAUGGAGCUAUUGGCUUUGAAUUGUAUUGUGGAAAUGUAUUACCAACAGAGGUGCAGGUGCCAGCCUAUUGAAAUAAAGCGUCAAUGAGGGUGAGAAUCCUGUUUGUCAUGUGCAGCCCUUUGUGCACGGUGUAUAUUUGCUGAGUCACACUCCUUGGCAUUGGAAUGCAAAGUGGGUGGUAAGUUUCAUGUAAAGGUAAACAUGCAAUUGAGACUGAUAGCACACAAGUACCAUGAGGGAAAUAUGAAAAGGACUUUGAAAAGAGAAUUAAAUGAGUUUGUAUUUGCUGAACACAAAGUAAACAGACUUGAUUUGCUUGGUGGGAGUGUUGCACUUGCUUGACAAGAGCUUUGGGCUGUGGGUGUAAUGAUUCUUUCUUUGCAUGCCAGUUUCUAUUUGUACAUCUGAUUACCUUUGCACAUGAAUGAUAAGUCUCCUGUGGGGGGUGGAUUGCAUGUGCAUGUAAUGAUUUGUGUUUUGAUAAAUGUGUCUGGUGUAUGUGUGUGUUCCUGUGCUUGGGGAUGCUUCCUUCCUUGGACUUACAAGCCCUGACACACACAUGCUGGCAAAAUGCUUCUGCUUGACCCGUCUUGAAACACGGACCAAGGAGUCUAACAGAUGUGCAAAGUUUGAAGGUGGUAUACCUUUGUGUGCAAUGAAAGUGUCAGCUGGGAUAUGUGCACCAGCACCCAAUUAAUUAGCGGACAGAGGUUUGAGUUGGAGCAUAUCUAUUAGGACCCGAAAGAUGGUGAACUAUGCCUGAACAGAAUGAAUUCAGAGGAAACUCUGAUGGAGGUUCGUAUCGAUACUGACGUGCAAAUCGUUCGU
rnacentral:rRNA from 1 species